CCUACGGGAUGCACCAGUGGGGAAUAUUGCACAAUGGGCGCAAGCCUGAUGCAGCCAUGCCGCGUGUAUGAAGAAGGCCUUCGGGUUGUAAAGUACUUUCAGCGGGGAGGAAGGUGUUGUGGUUAAUAACAGCAGCAAUUGACGUUACCCGCAGAAGAAGCACCGGCUAACUCCGUGCCAGCAGCCGCGGUAAUACGGAGGGUGCAAGCGUUAAUCGGAAUUACUGGGCGUAAAGCGCACGCAGGCGGUCUGUCAAGUCGGAUGUGAAAUCCCCGGGCUCAACCUGGGAACUGCAUUCGAAACUGGCAGGCUGGAGUCUUGUAGAGGGGGGUAGAAUUCCAGGUGUAGCGGUGAAAUGCGUAGAGAUCUGGUGGAAUACCGGUGGCGAAGGCGGCCCCCUGGACAAAGACUGACGCUCAGGUGCGAGAGCGUGGGGAGCAAACAGGAUUAGAUACCCCUGUAGUC
rnacentral:rRNA from 1 species